CUUUUCAUAGACAUGCAGCUCGUGACCUGCCAGAUUAAUUUCAAAACCCAGUAAGAGCCCACAGCCACGGUUUCAAUCCAGGAAGAUCGCAGCGCUUCAGGGGGUCACCUGCAGCCCAGAGGGAUGCUGAUAAGAAAGCCCUCAGAUGCUGGAGAACAUCUAGUUCACAGGGUUUCAUCUGCAGUGCCUGGAAGUACAUAUGGAGCUGAGCUCCUUGCAGGUAGGACACCCUAAUGGCUUGCGCGUCUUCAUGGGAGGGGCACGUUUCUCCUGGCUCUCGGCUGCCCCAAG